rnacentral:rRNA from 1 species
AGUGAACGCUGGCGGCGUGCUUAACACAUGCAAGUCGAACGAGAACGGGUUAUAGCUUGCUAUAAUUGUCAGCUAAGUGGCGCACGGGUGAGUAAUGUAUAGGUAAUAUGCCUCUUACUAAGGGAUAACAAUUGGAAACGAUUGCUAAUACCUUAUACUCCUUAUUAACCUAAGUUAAUAAGGGAAAGAUUUAUUGAUAAGAGAUUAGCCUGUAUUGUAUCAGUUAGUUGGUGGGGUAAUGGCCUACCAAGACUAUGACACAUAACUGGUUUGAGAGGAUGAUCAGUCACACUGGAACUGAGACACGGUCCAGACUCCUACGGGAGGCAGCAGUGGGGAAUAUUGCACAAUGGACGAAAGUCUGAUGCAGCAACGCCGCGUGGAGGAUGACACAUUUCGGUGCGUAAACUCCUUUUAUAUGAGAGGAUAAUGACGGUAUUAUAUGAAUAGGCACCGGCUAACUCCGUGCCAGCCGCCGCGGUAA